UUGUAUCUGGGGUAGUCUAUUCAGCUAAAGCAUCCAACCUGCCUGUUCUUAGCUAGAUUUAGGCUGUAAAUGUACCAAAAAAAAAUAAAUCAUUUUCUUGUCUUCUUUGUAUCUGAAAAAUAUGUUCUUUGUACCCCUCAAGAAAAUUUCUGCUACUUUGAUUUCUAUUUGUUCAUUACUGAUCUGGGGUUCUCUAUUUUCUCAAUCCUGGAGCUGUUUUGAUUAAAAAAAGGUGACAUCUUUACCCUUCUGCUGCUGUUUCUUUAGCCUAUUGGGUGAAAUAGGUGAUAUUUACUGUUACUUUUCAAGAACUGUUGGUUUUUAGGUCAAAGUUUGUGUCUUUUUUUUGGGGGGGGAUUUGAAUGAUGAAGGAAACUUGGGAUUUUGGAUUGUUAGUGAAGAGUUUGUUUUUAUUGGUGUUGGGAGUUUUAUGUGUUUGUGGUUUUGAUCCUGCUGAUAAUUUCUUAAUAGAUUGUGGAUCAAAUAAGGAUACUAAUGUUGGUAAUAGGGUUUUUAUGGCUGAUAAAUCAGCUGCUAAGUUUCUUUCAACUUCACAAAAUAUAUUGGCUGAUACCCCUUCAAAUUCUAUUACAAAAGCUGAUGAUUCACCUCUUUAUCAAACUGCUAGAAUUUUCACUCAACAAUCUAGCUAUAAUGAUACCCCUUCAAAUUCAAUUACAAAAGCUGAUGAUUCACCUCUUUAUCAAACUGCUAGAAUUUUCACUCAACAAUCUAGCUAUAAAUUCCCAAUCAGUCAAGUCGGGAGGCAUUGGAUCCGCCUUUAUUUUUAUCCGUUUGUUUAUCAAGAAUAUGAUAUGAGCAAAGCAACUUUCUCUGUUUCCACUCAACAGAAUGUUCUUCUUGGCAAUUUCACUCCCAAAAAUGUUACUGUCAAAGAAUUUUCUGUUAAUGUGACCUCGAGGGACCUUGUGAUCACGAUCUCUCCUUUGAGCUAUUCUUUUGCAUAUAUAAAUGCUCUGGAAGUUGUCUCUGUACCUGAUAUCCUUAUUACUGAUGAUGCAUCCACCAUUAGUCCAGCGGGGACGUUCAGUGGUAUGUUUUCACAGGCUCUCGAAACAGUUGCAAGGGUAAACAUGGGUGGAUCGCUGGUGUCAUUUGAUAAUGAUACACUUUGGAGAACUUGGG
rnacentral:lncRNA from 1 species